GGAAACUAGAGUUCGGUAGGGGUAGCAGGAAUUCCCAGUGUAGCGGUGAAAUGCGUAGAUAUUGGGAAGAACAUCGGUGGCGAAGGCGUGCUACUGGACCGUAACUGACACUCAGGGACGAAAGCUAGGGGAGCGAAAGGGAUUAGAUACCCCUGUAGUCCUAGCUGUAAACGAUGGAAACUAGGUGUGGCUUGUAUCGACCCGAGCCGUGCCGUAGCUAACGCGUUAAGUUUCCCGCCUGGGGAGUACGCACGCAAGUGUGAAACUCAAAGGAAUUGACGGGGGCCCGCACAAGCGGUGGAGUAUGUGGUUUAAUUCGAUGCAACGCGAAGAACCUUACCAGGGCUUGACAUGUCGCGAAUCUCGGUGAAAGCUGAGAGUGCCUUCGGGAGCGCGAACACAGGUGGUGCAUGGCUGUCGUCAGCUCGUGUCGUGAGAUGUUGGGUUAAGUCCCGCAACGAGCGCAACCCUUAUUUUUAGUUGCCAGCAUUAAGAUGGGCACUCUAGAAAGACUGCCGGUGACAAACCGGAGGAAGGUGAGGACGACGUCAAGUCAGCAUGCCCCUUACGCCCUGGGCUACACACGUACUACAAUGGUUGGGACAAAGGGCAGCGACUCCGCAAGGAAUAGCGAAUCUCAUCAAACCCAGCCUCAGUUCAGAUUGCAGGCUGCAACUCGCCUGCAUGAAGGAGGAAUCGCUAGUAAUCGCAGGUCAGCAUACUGCGGUGAAUUCGUUCCCGGGCCUUGUACACACCGCCCGUCACACCAUGGAAGCUGGUCACGCCCGAAGUAGUUACCCUAACCUUUCGAGGAGGGGGAUUCCUAAGGCAGGGCUAGUGACUGGGGUGAAGUCGUAACAAGGUAACC
rnacentral:rRNA from 1 species